rfam:Anolis carolinensis unplaced genomic scaffold chrTn0083, whole genome shotgun sequence.
GCACCUGAAGCCUAGCCAAGCUGUUGUUUUAACAGCGCAAUAAAAAUGAAUUAUGACUAACCGCCUCCUCGCUUAAUGGUUUUAGACGGGGAUCCCCAGGCCGAGCAAAUACGUAAGGAGAUUUUUAUUUGUGCAUGUGUUCCUGCCAUUGAUUUCUUCGAUGACAUUCUCAUUCACAGAAAGCGGGUGAUUUAUGGGUUUAGGAAGAAUUGCAUCCAAC